rnacentral:tRNA from 1 species
GGUCUCAUCGUCUAGUGGUUAGGACCCAAGGUUUUCAUCCUUGUAACCGGAGUUCGAUUCUCCGUGAGAUCA